GCUUGCUCACACCUGCUUUUACUCUGUGAGUUGUACUUUUGCUUCUUCAAUAAAUCUGUGCCUUUGUUACUCCGUUCUUUUGUUGUUUUGCUUGUGCGUUUUGUUUAAUUCUUUGUUUGAAACCCCAAGAACCUGGACAACUCACAGUCAAGACCUUCCGUCCGGUAACAAAGCAACAGACCUCAGUCAUGUCAUCUGCUUACAAAGGAGCCACGAAUCAAGACCGAUUCCGUGUGCUCUUGACGAUUCUGUUACACUCCUGCAGGGUAUCGCUCUGCCUCCCAGGCUGGAGUGCAGUGGCACAAUCACAGCUCACUGCAGCCUCGACCUUCUCGGCUCAAGCAAUCCUCCUACCUCAGCCUCCUGAGUAGCUGGGAUUGCAGGCAUUCAUCACCACACCCAGCACCAGGCCCAGAGGCCUACCUGCAGAACCAGGAGCCUUCCCAGAGAUGCCUGUUGAUGGAUGGCUACACUGAGAACCUGAAAUAGCGUGCAAAUAACUCUCUUCUCUGUACUUGAAGCCAAAUCGCAUUCCCAGGCAGACAUAUCCAGCGGGGAAAGAAGAAACAAGAAAAUGAAUGAUCCACUUGCACAAGAAUCUCUCCUAUGAGCAAGUGUUAGGUGAGGGUGGGGAUAAGAUGCCUGUCUCGGGAGACAAGGCUGUACAAAUUCAUAAUUUGAAUUUUUAUGGUUAAUUUUAUGGUUAAUUUUAUGGAAUUUUAUGGUUAAUCUUGGAUAGUGGGAUUUGGGAUAAAUUUGCUUUUAUAAUAUGUAAUUGUAUUUUCUGAAUUUUCUACAGUGAACUCGUAUUGCUUUUAUGAACAGGAAAAAG
rnacentral:lncRNA from 1 species